GAAGGAAGGCCUGGACAUCCGGCGAAAGAAAUAAGGGAAGGCUGAGGAGACCCCGCCUCCCCAGACCCCUUGGUCU
rnacentral:tRNA from 1 species